GUUUCGUUCCGCGCCGAUUUGAGGUUCAGCUUGCGGGCGCGUUAAAAGUGCAGCUAAAGCGACGGAGAACCCGGUCCG
rnacentral:ncRNA from 2 species